UAUCUACCACACUAUUAAUUGACCAGGUCACAAGGUAUUUAUGUGAGUCAGUACCCUCAUCUGAGAGACAGGAAUAGCAACGCCUGCUUGUCAUGGAUCCUGGGGAAGCAGAUGAAGUAGGGCAUGUCCGCUCACCGCUGCCUCGCCUGCUCCCACACUAAUUCACCAAGCUUUGCUGACUCAGCCAUGAACGGAGCUCAGUUUUUAAAACAAGGCUACAGAUGUUUAACCUGGUAUCUUUUGUGGACAUCCAGUGAGAAAAGACAGGAGGUAGAGCAAGUUGACACCAUUAUGAAACAAUGCUGUGGGAUCUUUCAUCUUAAAAAGUGGAUAGAAAUUUCUGGGAAGAAUGUUCCUCUCCUAAAAUUUGAUGCAAAAAUGAAAUACAAUCAGAAGCAAAAGGGACCAUCUUCUGGCAUCCAAGCAAGGUAAAACCAUGACCCAUGCCUAAGAGACACCUUACCCUCCUCCUGGUCUGGUGAAUUCUUGACCGGGCCGUGGCCUCUGAGAAGCUGUCACAGUUCUCUCAGCACCUGCGGGAGGACACACUGAGUGUCUGCACUUCGCUUUCUGCUGUUUUGAUGGAGAAAUGCAGUAAGAGUUUCUGGGAGGAAGAAAGUGAAACAAAAGAAGCAGAACAUGUUUGUGGCCUCUAAUGAGCAAGAACCUUUUAGGAAAUUAUAUCAUCUGCAAGGGAAAAACAUUAUUUGAAUCUCAACUAUGCCAUCAAAUUCACUUGAUCACACUUCAUCCCUUCUCUUGACACCCUGUCUCCUGAAGCCUCAUUCAACUCCAACAUCCCAGAGGUAUGGUCACCGCAGCUCUCCUGCCACCAAAGAGCCCGUGGCCUCUGCCUCAUCCUGCCCUUCCCUCUGUUCUCACCCUUGGGAUGCUUCAGAUCUAUGCCUCUCACUGAAGCAGGAUGCAUGGAAUACAUGUCAGGGGAUAUUGGGCUGCAGAUUGGAGGAAGAGAAGAGACUGAUCUGAAGAAAAUAAGGGACCUUUAUUCCAGUACAAAGAUGCUAACACUCAAAAGCUUGCCUGUAUCUCAAGGUUGUAGAAGAAUCCAAUGAGACAUCAAGGCAAAGUUCUCACCCAACUGAGAAGUGCUCUGUGAAUGCUGGUGCCUGUUACUAAUGGCUGAUUUGAAUGUUCUUCUUUUCCCCACUCUGGAUUGCAUCAUUGAGUUUUCAAACUCAAAUAGAAGACUGCAAAGAUAAACCGCAUCACCAGUGAGAAUGCACAAGCUGGAGUGUUCCCAUACGGCGCGGUGCUCCUUGCGCUUCAAAGCACCAGCAAAUAACAAGAAGGCUUUGUUCCAUGCAGACUGUGGUUGUAAAAGGUGGGCAGCGCUUGGGGUGCUGAACUUUUACAAGCUCCCAAGUAACAGCAAGGCUGCUAAAACAAUGCUUGCCCAGCAAGGAUGUACCUCAGCAUCACCCGGGGUGCCCGUGUUUCUAAACCCCAGUUUGAGGCACCAUCCUAGCAAUUAACCUAGUAUUUCUGGGGGUAUGCUCAGGAUUCAGUAUAUUUUAAAAGCACCCCAGGUGAUUCUAACACACAUUCAGAACCACUGGCUUAAAAAGAAAAGGCUCAGCAGGACACGUCAGCCAAGUGUCAUCUGGGUGAUGCCAACUGAAAGAGAGACAGAGGCAGAUAAAAGACAUUCCCAUUUGCAAGACGAGAGUGAAGACCUGCCUGGCUUGUAAACCAUCUGAGUCUUCGCAUAUGAACCACUGCUCUUGUGUGACAUCACGCACCAUCUUGGCCCCAUGACAAGCUUCCUGGGUCCAUGUGCACAAGCUGUUAAAGGACCUGGGUCUUACCGUUCUCAUCUGUAUGAUGGAACUGGCCCUCUACCUGCACGGGUGGUGGAGCCGAUCGGUGGUUCUUGUGUUCUAGCGAUGGAAGAAUAACAGACACACAGGACUGAAGCUCAGGUUUAUCGCAAGAGAAACUCCUGCCAGCAGGAGGGGGCCCGUGGGACAAGCCUGUUACUGCUGGGGGGCACUCCAGAUGAUCCCAGACUUGCAAAUGUGGGAUGAGGAUGAAGUUCUAGACCCUGGGAUGGAUCCUCUCGUUCUUUAAUGGUGGGUCUUAGCCCUCAGCCAUUCCUCUCCUCUAUGAAUUCAAGGCACCUUUCUUUCCAGAGCACAUUUGAUCUGUAGGUAAAUCUAUAAAUUUCUACUCAGAAGAACAUGAAUUAUGUGAUGCUUGAAUGAAAUGAAGACAAAAACAAGCUUGAAUAUUUAAACUUGCAGGAGACUGAAGGAGGGAAAAGGUCCCAACUUUAAUUAUCGACACAUUUGAAUAUCUUCAUUCUGUGCAAGACACAAAGAGGAUCAGGCCCUGUGCAAAGAACAUGUCACUGUGGCAUUAGCAAAAGCCCUAUAAACACCAGCACUCCUGGGAGAAGAAAAUCCAGACUGCCGGUGCUACAUCUUGGCUUUGGAGAGGAGACGGUCACGAUUCAAUCCAAGCAUCAUCGAUUGUGCCCCUGCAGGGUACCGUGUGCUGGGACUCAGCAAGAACCAGGAUGGAUCUCAGUUCUUGGUGACCUAGGAACCUAGAGGGAGAGAGUUUUGAACCCAUGCUAAGAUUAAUAUUCCAUGCUGGGAAAGCAAGAAUAAAUAAAUAAAUAAAAGG